UCAAGCGUAGACAAUCAAACUAAAUGAGAUUGCUUAACUCAAGCACGUGCUUUGUGCAUUUAUCAUCUCAUCGUUGGCCUCAACAAGUUGCACCAUGCAAACUAGACUAGAAAACAUGCAGUGGUUAAUACACAGAUGGUGUCUGAGUUCCCAAACUUUAUUCAGCCAAGGCACAUAUUUUACCCACAAAAUGUUUUUAAAAGUAUUUUACUCAAUAAUUGUUCUGCCUGUCACUAUACGUCAUCGGCAAAGAUAGAUGAGAAUUUGUAUUAUGUCAAUUUAAAUUGGCAAACCUCAUGAUGUCACAUGACUCGCAUGACAAAAAAAAAAAAAAGGUUUUGGAAUUAGUGGGUUAGCGUAGCCGUACUGAAAGUUCUCUAUCUUGUUCAAACAGGCCAGAGUUGGUGUGUGUUUCCCAACACAUACACUUUAAAGAAUGCUGCAGGCUUGCGCACACACACAAAGUACUGUAAAAUUAUUUAGGACUGUUAAAUUAGAGCAGGUUUUACAGAAUUGAUUAAAAAAAAAUACAUGAAUGGUGAUAAAAUAUAUUAUUGUUAUUAGUCAUGUGAUAAGCAGUUCUUGGAUUCAUUUCCUAAAACCGGUCAGUUGUUCGUAUACAUAUAUUAAGUAAAAUAAAAUAGUCAAUUUUGCUUGAAAAUUAUUACAGGUAUUUCUUUCUUUAAAGUGAGCCUUGUGUUUGUGUUGUCUGCACGUUUUCCAAUUCUUCAGGUCAGUAUAAGAGACACAAACACUCAACCAGGUGUUGCUGGUGCCACAUGGGAAGAUCCGUGCUCCUCAAAGUUGGAAUGGAAUUAUUAGACAUCAUUCCUUUAUUGGCUAUAUCAGUUCAUGACCCCCUCUACUGAGAAUCUUCAUGACCUUUAAGCCCCCCCACCCCCUCCCACUAAGGAUUACCGAUUGGAAAGGAGAGUAAAAAUAGCUGGUUGUUGCAAGUCUAUCAGCACGUUUGGCUCGCCGGCGGUGCAAAGCUCGGGUUUCCAGAGAUUUCAAAUGCAACGGCUGAUUUGUCCCUCUGGAUAGUCACAAACCAAAAAAAUUCAAUUGACGCCAUUUUCUUUGCCCUACGAGCUGACUGACAGGCAGGAAUGAUAAUAACAAUUCUCAAAUCUCUUCCUCCCCCCUUGCACACUUUCAACACUCUACUCGUCCUUUUUUUUUGUUAUCGAAAGACAUUUUUAAGACCUGUCGGGUUAAAAUGAGCGAGUAGUUUGUGUGCGUGUGAUGUCAUCUUUGUGUGGUUAUUUAUAUUUGUAUAUCAUGUCCGCUAAAUAUCUUAAAUGAUCAUUAGAAACUGCCGACUGCCAAAUUGUGUGUGUGUGUGUGUGUGAGACAGAUGGAGCUGUUGGAAUGUGCUGAUGUUCCACAUUGGAGCUAAACUCUCAAUGUGUGUGUUUUAUUUUGCUCCCUUCCCCUCAGCGGUCAAACAUCCAUCCUGUCACUUUGUGUUAGCUCUCCAUCGUUGAGCGUCCACGAUGAGCCCCAUUUUUUUUUUUUUUUGCAGAAUAGGGGCAAGACAAAGUUGAAAUCGUUUUGGAUGAACCGAUACUAGUCACUGAUACCACGUGGACUUUAUUUUUGAGGACUUUUAUUAAAUAGACGAUCUGCCAAAUGUGUGUCGGAGUAAAAGUGGGAACUAUUGACUUUUUCUGCCUCACAUUCCCGUGUGAAAAUGAAAGCGAGAA